rnacentral:sRNA from 1 species
GCACUGGCAAAAUCCAGUGCUCGGGAUUGGCAUUCCGAAAUCACAGCGGAUACAAACGCCGCUUUAUGCGGCUUUUCU